rnacentral:rRNA from 1 species
GCUGGCGGCGUGCCUAACACAUGCAAGUCGAACGCGACUUGGGCUUCGGUCCAAGUUGAGUGGCGAACGGGCGAGUAACACGUGGGUGACCUACCUUCGAGUGGGGGAUAACGUCCCGAAAGGGACGCUAAUACCGCAUAACAUCCUGCCUUUGAACAGGCGGUGAUCAAAGCCGGGGAUCGCAAGACCUGGCGCUUGAUGAGGGGCCCGCGUCUGAUUAGCUAGUUGGUGAGGUAACGGCUCACCAAGGCGACGAUCAGUAUCCGGCCUGAGAGGGCGGACGGACACACUGGGACUGAGACACGGCCCAGACUCCUACGGGAGGCAGCAGUGGGGAAUUGUUCGCAAUGGGCGCAAGCCUGACGACGCAACGCCGCGUGGAGGAUGAAGGUCUUCGGAUUGUAAACUCCUGUUGCUCGGGACGAAAAGCUUCGACCUAACACGUCGAAGUCUGACGGUACCGAGUGAGGAAGCCCCGGCUAACUCUGUGCCAGCAGCCGCGGUAAUACAGAGGGGGCAAGCGUUGUUCGGAAUUACUGGGCGUAAAGGGCGCGUAGGCGGCCUGCUAAGUCGAACGUGAAAUCCCUGGGCUCAACCCAGGAACUGCGUCCGAUACUGGUUGGCUUGAAUCCGGAGAGGGAUGUGGAAUUCCACGUGUAGCGGUGAAAUGC